ACAAAAAAGCUCUGAAUAUAAUAUUUAAUAUAAUAGCCCUGCUCUUUCAAAGUAGGUUUACCAACCGUGCUAAACCCAAGCUGCUAACCAGAUCCUUUCUGAGCCCUUGCAAGCAGAUCUUACAACACUUCUUGAGAUGGAUUAUCAUUUAGAAAAGCGAAAGAAGAGAAAGCGAUGUGUACUAUUCAGCCUUAAAGCUCAGUGAUAUGGAGCACGUUUGGGAAUUUGUUUAUGUGCAGAAUGCAAUGUGGAUGAAUGUGGAUAUUAAAAUAGGCACCCUGCUGUAACUAGGUUGGACUUGCAUCAUGGGUCUGAAUGUACUUGUCUACAAGCAAUUUGAAAAAAUGCAAAGAGUGGAAUGAAUGAGCGUAUACAAAGUGGUAACUAACCACAGUACUUGGUAUGAAAUUUGCCCACCCAGCUGGCCAAAUGACAGAACUGAGCUCUCUCACCUUGAGGUCACCAGAACUGUGGAGCCACCACUGAGAAAGCCCUUUCUUUGGUGCUCGGCAGCCUGAUUUAUUUCACCAGCCAGCACACAAGCAGGACCUUGUCGUAUGAAGUGCUGCUUCCGUUCUGCUGUAGUUCAACUUCUGAUAAACACUAUGCUACUUGUCGCACUGUCCACUGUGGCAGUUUUUGUAAUUACACUAUCAUCAUGUUAUCCCACAUCAUUCAUUUCAAUGCAAAGGAAACACAAUGCAAAUGGGGUGAGGGGAAGGAACCAUCAUCAAUUACAUAUUGUCUGCAGACUAAAAACAACAACAGCGAAUACUGAUCACAUUCAUUGGAUUGAUUUCCAUUCUGGACAUGGGACAAACAGGCGAACACCAGUAAUUUCUGCUUCUGUCAGAAUUCUCUGGUAUCUCUAUCUCCAACACAGAUUUUAAGAUUAUGAGAGGGCCACUCAGAUACAGGCAAACCCUCAUGGUAAUCUGCUACCAAACUGCUGAUGAGAAGUAUCCUCUUGGUGACUUCUGCUUGUCAUAAACCCUGUUCAGGUGUUCUGAAAUUCAACACGCUGAGCAAGAUCACACAGAUGAGUCCUGCUCCCAAUGUCCACAUCACCACCAGGUCCAUCAUGGGAAGAUGUGAAGGACAACUCAGCUGACCUCACUUAGCAGUCUCCUUGUGAUUGGUAACCCUGAGUCAUUGGGGUUCCUGACUGCAGAAAGGCUUCUAAGCAUGAUGAACAAGCACUUUGAGAGCCUCCUUUCAGACCUUCUCUCUUAAUGCUGGAUGGCUGGGGAUGAAGCUGUAUCCAGAGGGACAAUUCAGUCCAUCUGCAUGGAAAGGUUGUUGCUGAAUUCAGUAUUUAGUUUUUCACCUCCCGCUUUGCCUCUUCCUUUCCCUGGUUUCAUUCCUCCUGGGUCCAUUUAUGCACUCUAUUUUUAAUGUGAGCCCUUGAAAGGACGUAGAACAAUUUAACUGCUCUCAGCCACCCCAAGAUCUGGGAUGGGGUGAAAGGUAAUUCCAAAAUGAACACAUGAAUUAAUUGUGCGCGGUCAGACAAGAGUAUGGGCCUGAGGACAAACAGCUUAGGGAGCCAAAGGUGGACGAGCAGGCAAUAACUGCAGUUGCCAAAAAGAAAAGGAAUGGGCAGAUGGGAGGGGAGGGGGAAAGAUGGAGGAUGGGUUGAUGGAGAAAGAACAAAAAGGAUGACAGAAUGAGAGGCACUUGUGGAUGAAGGAGAGGGGAAAAAACAGGAAGCUGCCUUAACCUGCAUGAGAUAAUUGGACCAUUUAGGCCAGCACUGUCUUCAUCAGGGAAGGAGGAACUCAGCACCGGGAGCUAAAUGUGGCCCUGCAAUUCCCAGCAUCUCUGGGUAGUGAUCUGACUCAGUUAUAUGUAAGGCCACUUCCUCUGUUCACUUAUGCCUUAUUCAUCAGCAAUUUGGCAAGCAAAUGGAAAAGCCUGACCUCAAUCUUUCACAUAAAACCAGCAUGACUCUUCUUUUGCUCGCCCAGCAAAACUGUUUCUGACAGUUAUUUGUGUAUUAUUAUUAACAUCAACAACUUAGCAAUAAUAAGCACUGGAUGGUGGCUUGGAUUGUUUAUUUUAUGUGGCAUAAGUGUUUUGAUUUUCUUUUUAGAAAAAAAUAUGUUAUUUCAUCUGGCCUCCUUUAUGUCCCAAAACAUUUGAUUUCCUUAGAAAAGCACACAGAACCCCUUGGCCUGUCAGGCCUCCCCAUUUUGCCUGCGUCAUGGCUUGGGUCAAAAUAUGCCCACCUCUCCAUCAGCUGACAUCCAGGCACAUGACAGGUAAACCCAUGGGGCCAAAUUUAAAAGGAAGAAUCAGGAGCACACUCUAGAUUUUGAGCCCUUUGGGGACAUAAUUAUUUACAAUUUUUAAUAAAAACCUGCUAUAAGCCACUCUCGAUCCAUGGGAAAGAGCAGGAUACAUAUCAGAUCCAUCAAUAAGUCGUUUAUCCUGCCCUUUCUCUAAGGAAAGUUUCCUGUAUAUGCCCCUUUAUUCUCACGACAGCCCUUUGAAGUAGGCUAAGCUGAGAAAAUGACUGGUCCAUGGUCACCCAUAAGACUCUUGGUCACCAGACUAGACACCAAAUCUAGUCCCAGGCUAUGGUCUGAAGGCCCAUGAGGCCACCACCUUACUGAAGCUAAGCAGGUCAGUGCCUGGAUGGGAAACCACCUGAGAACCACAUGAGAACCUUGGGUUCCUUGAUGAAAGAAAGGCAGGAUAUAAGUGUUAGAAAUAAAUAAAACUUUGGAGAACAGCUAUAAACAGAUUUAAAACCACAAAGCACAGAACAACUACUUUUAUGGUUCAGAUCCAACAGACGAAAUAGUACAGAGAGAAGGAAUGACAACUGAGAACAUAACAGCAUCAGAAGAGCCUUUUGGGGUGAGGCCAGUGGCCCAUCUAGUCCAGCAUCCUGUUUCCACAGUGACCAACCCAAUGCCUCUGGGAAGCCCAAAACUAAGACCUGAAUAUAACAGUGCACUCCUGUUCCCCAGAAACUGGUAUUCAGAGGCAUAGUGACUUUGAUCCUGGAGACAAUAUAUAACCAUUAUUACUAGAAGUCAUUGACAGCCUUAUCCUCCAUGAAUUUGUCUAAUACUCUUUUUUGCCAUUGUUAUAUAUUAUAUGGUUAUGUAUCCUUUGCUUUAUGAUGUUCUGUAUAUGUAUUGUUUUAUGAGGUAGUGAGCUGCCUUGGCUGAGCUAUGCCCAGAAAAGUGUCUACAGUGACUUUAUAAAUAAAUGACUUAAUUAAAGCUU